AGAACGAACGCUGGCGGCAGGCUUAACACAUGCAAGUCGAACGCUCGUAGCAAUACGGGAGUGGCAGACGGGUGAGUAACGCGUGGGAACAUACCCUCCGGUUCGGAAUAGCUCAGGGAAACUUGGAUUAAUACCGGAUACGGCCGAGAGGCGAAAGAUUUAUCGCCGGAGGAUUGGCCCGCGUUCGAUUAGCUAGUUGGUGAGGUAACGGCUCACCAAGGCGAUGAUCGAUAGCUGGUCUGAGAGGAUGAUCAGCCACAUUGGGACUGAGACACGGCCCAAACUCCUACGGGAGGCAGCAGUGGGAAUAUUGGACAAUGGGCGCAAGCCUGAUCCAGCCAUGCCGCGUGAGUGAUGACGGCCUUAGGGUUGUAAAGCUCUUUCGCUCGGGACGAUAAUGACGGUACCGAGAUAAGAAGCCCCGGCUAACUUCGCGCCAGCAGCCGC
rnacentral:rRNA from 1 species